GACAGAGGGUGCUAACGUUGUUCGGAAUUACUGGGCGUAAAGCGCGUGUAGGCGGCUAUGCAAGUCGGGCGUGAAAUCCCACGGCUCAACCGUGGAAGUGCACUCGAAACUGCGUAGCUAGAGUCCUGGAGAGGAAGGUGGAAUACUUGGUGUAGCAGUGAAAUGCGUGGAGAUCAAGAGGAACACUCGUGGCGAAAGCGAGCUACUGGACAAUAUCUGACGCUGAGGCUCGAAGGCCAGGGUAGCGAAAGGG
rnacentral:rRNA from 1 species